rnacentral:rRNA from 1 species
GGGGGGAAAAUUAAAAAAUAUUAUAAAUAAUAAAAAAAGUUUUAAUUAUAAAUAAUAUAUAUAAUGGGGGUUAUAGUAUUUUUAUAAAAAAAAAUUAUAAUAUUUAUAGUAAAUUAGUAUUGUAAAAGAAUUUUGAAAUAGUUUAAAAUAAAUUUAUUUAAAAGUAAAUUUUAUUUAUUGUAUCUUGUGUAUCAGAGUUUAUUAAAAAUUUUUUAUUUAUUAUAAAUUUCUCGAAUUUAAAAGAGAUAAUUAAUUAAAAAAGUUAUUGUAGAAUAAAUAUUUUUCAUAAUUAAUUUGAAAUGAAAUGUUAAUCGUUUUUAAAUAUAUCUAGUUUUUUUAGAAAAAAAUUUAAUUUUGAAAUUAAAUAAAAAAUUUUUUAUUUAUUAAUAAAGUUUUAUUUAAUUUUAAUAAUUUAAGGGAUAAGCUUUAAAUUAAAUUUUUAUAAUUUUUAAAUAAAGAAAAUUGAAAAUUAUAUAAUUUAUAUUGUUAAUAAAUUAUAAUUUUUUAUAAAUAAUUUCAUUUUAAUAAAAAUUUAAUUUAAUUUAAUUUUUUAUAAAAAAUAAUUUUAUAAUUAAAUAAAUUUUGAUAUAAUGAUAAAAUUAGUAUAUAAUUUUUAUUAUAAAUUUAAAUAUUAAUAUUUAUGAUAAUUAUUUAAAAGGAAUUCGGCAAAAUUAUAUAUUCACUUGUUUAUCAAAAACAUGUCUUUUUGUAAAUAAUUUAAAGUCUAAUCUGCCCACUGAAUUUAUUUGAAGGGCUGCAGUAUUUUGACUGUACAAAGGUAGCAUAAUCAUUAGUCUCUUAAUUGGUGACUUGUAUGAAGGAUUGGAUGAAAUAUAAACUGUCUCUUAAAUAUUUAUUGAAUUUAAUUUUUUAGUUAAAAAGUUAAAAUAUUUUAAAAAGACGAGAAGACCCUAUAGGGUUUUAUAAUUAUUAUGUUUAUAUUUAUUUAUAAAUUUAUAAAAUAAAAAUUUAAUAAUUAUUUUAUUGGGGUGAUAAAAAAAUUUAAUAAACUUUUUUUUAAAUUUAACAUAAUAAAUGGUUAAUUGAUCCAAUAUUAUUGAUUAUAAGAUUAAAUUACCUUAGGGAUAACAGCGUAAUUUUUUUUUUUAGUUCAAAUAAGAAAAAGAGUUUGCGACCUCGAUGUUGGAUUAAGAUAAAAUUUAAAUGCAAAAGUUUAAAAUUUUUGAUCUGUUCGAUCAUUAAAAUCUUACAUGAUCUGAGUUCAAACCGGUGUAAGCCAGGUUGGUUUCUAUCUUUUGAAAAAUAAAAUAUUUUAGUACGAAAGGAUUGAAUAUUUUAAUUAAAUUAAAUUAUUUGAAUUUUAUUAAUGAGAUUAUUAUAAAUUUAAUAUAAUAAAUAAA